UCACUAUCUUCUACCAACUGUAGCAUUAAUGCCUAACGACAGGGACAGAGUCGGACGUUUUGCCUCGGACGUAACGCUUUGCCGGUGACAGAAUAACCGACCACUGGAGAAAUCUCUCUUUUUCCUCAGCGGACUUGGCAGACUGGCGUGUCAGCGCUAUGUUCCCCGGAGCUCGUUGGGGGCAUAAGGACUGGGCCUGGAGGCUCAUCGAGCACAUUAACACCACUACACAACAGAAGAACGUGCCCCUUGUCCAUUCCUGAUCCCGCCCGUCACGACCAUGGGCUGGAAGCCAAGGACUGCCUCCAUUCUUUGGGAUUUUUUGGGAGAGGUCUCAGGGGGCCCUGGGAGUAGCCCUCCAGGAGCUGACUGAGACAUGUCUAGCCAUUCCAGUGUCAGGCUGGUCAGCACUGAGGGCUGUCCACGUUAGAUGUGAUGGAUGUGAUUUGUAUGUUGCAGACGCAAGCAUAGUGGCAGUCGCUGGUUGAUGAAGAUGCUCCGUCGAUGACAGAGGAUGCCAGUGUGGCACUGGGCUGACUAGCGAGGUGUUCCAACAACCAAAGAGGGCGACGGUCGCCCUGUCGUGUAAGGGGCCCUGUUGACGAAAGAAGACGCCAGGGAUGCGCAUCGUGGAGGAUGGAGGGCUCCAAUGACACAGAGAGGUGCCGCUUCCACACCUUGCCCGGAAAAGGGAUCUUGCUGUUGGAAAGGGAACACCAGCAUUGCAUCCAGACAUUAGGAAGGGCAUCGUCAGUCAAAGGGGCGAAGCCCCCAUGCCCCAUUCGGUGAUGAGCCCAAGUGUCGCAAGAGAGCCCCAGCACCGAAGGAAGCUGCCAUCGAUGACAGUGCCGAGGCCCUCAUGCUCUGUCCAGACAGAAAGAAAAAUGAUGGCUGCUAUGUGCUGGGGAAUGCACGGCAAUGCAAUGGCCAUGUUAGAGGUUCACCAUUACUGCUGGGAACAGUCAUGCCGGCUGGGAAACGGGACUCAUUUAUCACUCUCAAUCUCGUCCCAUUUCAUCACACACACACAGCCCACCAUUUCACACUGCAAUGCUGAUGAAUAUCACUGCGAUCAUGCUCUCUCUCAAACACUCAGACCUGCACAUAAGUGCUAAACUCUGUGUUUGUGAGUAUGUGUAACUCCAGACUCAGGAUCAGUUCUGCAUGUCUCACCUGUAGGGCUACCCUCCACCACAGUGUGUUGAUAUGGAUUCUGGGUUUGAGAUGCAUAUAAUAUGUGUAUGUAUAUAUAUUUAUAUAUGUAUGCAUGUAAAUUUACACAGGAAUUGUUUGGUCAAACUUUAUUGAUGUAAUUAACAAGCAAGGAAAAAGUGUCAUUUAGUGAAGACCUGCAGGGAAAGAAGUUUAUGUAUUGAGAAUUCUUGUUUAUGUAUGUAUAUGAAGUUGAAGUAUUUGCGAUUAAAUAUUGUUCAUAUAUGUUUCUAGAGCUUAAUGUUCCUCUUGCCAGAAAUGUUUCUACUUAUUAACUAAGUAGGUAAAACAAAAGUAUGUAGAGAAAAAUGUACUUACCUGUGAUUAUUUUUUUGGGCUUCCAUGUUGUCUUGGAGUGAAAUGACACUGCAGCCUGUUUUGAAGGGGACAUUUAUAGGGAAUUUUCCCCACCCAAAGACCUAUAGGCUUCUGAGGAGAAAGGAAUGCUUUUGAAGCUGUUUGAUUUAUGAUUGCUGGAGUUUUCUUGAACUUGUAAAUAUUAAGUCUUCCUUUUUUUAAAUAUUUUUGUUUGGUUUUGAUGGGAUAUGGGUUUGCAUUGGGAGCCAAUAAACACCUUUUCUUUUGUA